UUACACCUACGGGGGGCAGCAGUGAGGAAUAUUGGUCAAUGGCCGAGAGGCUGAACCAGCCAAGUCGCGUGAGGGAAGACGGCCCUACGGGUUGUAAACCUCUUUUGUCGGGGAGCAAAGCGAACCACGUGUGGUUCAUUGAGAGUACCCGAAGAAAAAGCAUCGGCUAACUCCGUGCCAGCAGCCGCGGUAAUACGGAGGAUGCGAGCGUUAUCCGGAUUCACUGGGCGUAAAGGGAGCGCAGGCGGCAUGGCAAGUCUGAUGUGAAAACCCGGGGCCCAACCCCGGGAGUGCAUUGGAAACUG
rnacentral:rRNA from 1 species